rnacentral:rRNA from 1 species
CCUACGGGAGGCAGCAGUCGGGAAUAUUGCGCAAUGGAGGAAACUCUGACGCAGUGACGCCGCGUAUAGGAAGAAGGUUUUCGGAUUGUAAACUAUUGUCGUUAGGGAAGAUAAAAGACGGUACCUGUCGAAUAAGCCACGGCUAACUACGUGACAGCAGCCGCGGUAAUACGUAGGUGGCAAGCGUUGUCCGGAUUUACUGGGUGUAAAGGGCGGGUAACCGGGCUGACAAGUCAGAUGUGAACUCCGGGGGCUCAACCCCCGAACUGCAUUUGAAACUGUUGGUCUUGAGUAUCGGAGAGGCAGGCGGAAUUCCUAGUGUAGCGGUGAAAUGCGUAGAUAUUAGGAGGAACACCAGUGGCGAAGGCGGCCUGCUGGACGACAACUGACGGUGAGGCGCGAAAGCGUGGGGAGCAAACAGGAUUAGAUACCCCAGUAGUC